CAGCAACAUCUCUUACCACCUGGCUAUGAGAUUUCCUUCAAAUACCUGGAGAGGGACUCAUUGGUUGGGAAUAUUAUCACACUCUGAUGUUUUGCCCAAGAGCAGCCUGUGAAUCCUGCUGAGAGUUCACAGCUUAGCCUUUCUACUUCUUUGCCACCUUCCAGGCUUCUGGAACUGCUCCAGGACAGAGCAGCCUGGAUCAGAGGAGGGAAGUAACAAGUGACAGCCUGCUGGAGAAGUGACAGCUCACGUCACUUCUGUCCUGUUCCAGGAGUGAUGCUAAGUCAGGCUUCUGUCUCGGUUCCUUUGUGUGCCCUUUAUGGAGGCUCCUUCUGAGUCCCCCCUAUCCCCACCAGAAGUCUCUUCUUCUGAGUCUUGGUUCAUAUCAAAGUGGAAAACUGAUGUUCUAGAUGCACUUAUGCAAAGCCAAGGGCGGGGCAGAAGGCAGGGUGCUGGCCGUGGGACUUAGUGGUGGUGGGUCAGUGGGAGCAAAGACAUACACUAUCAGCAGUGCCUAAAGGUGAGAGCUCAGGGAUGGCCCACCUUAACCUUUCUCUGCACGUUCUUAUAAAUGCAGGUUGUAGUUGGUUAAAUAGUGUUCUCCCAAACUAUGUCCAAGUCCUAACUCCCAGGACAUGUAAAUGUGACUUUAUUUGGAAACAGGGUCUUAGCAGAGGUAAUUAAGCUAACAGUCUCAAGAUGAGAUCCUGUUGGAUUUAGGGCAGGCUCUAAGUCCAAUGACUGGCAUCCUUAUAAGAAGAGGAGAGGACACACAGACACCCAAGUGAGCCACAUGUAAAGACAGAGGCAGAGACUGCAGCGGCGCAACUCCAGUCAACCAGCCAAGCAACAAGACUGACUGGCAGCCGCUGGAAGCCAGGAGAGAGGCAUGGAAUGGGUCUCCCUCUGAGCCUCUGGAAGGAACCAACCCCACUGACACCUCAAUUGUGGACUUCUGGCCUCCAGAACUGUGAGACAAUACAUUUCUGUUGUUUGAGGCCACGAGGUUUGUGGUUGUUUGUAAUGGUACCCACAGGAAGCUCAUCCACAGUUAACACACAUCAUAUGUGAGCUCUGCGCAGACAGUCUUUACGCUGCUGUCAUCAUCCAAGGAUGGCUGUGCGGGGAACGAUGACUGCUAACUCAGUUCACCAGAAGAUUGCUGCUCCCUGUUUCUUUGCAUAGUAUUGACACAUGAGAGGCUUGGAGGAUGCAUACCCUGAGUUAGCACUUGAAGUCAUCUGAAUGCUGUUUGCCUGUCCUUGACAUUACACAAUUUGUGUAUCUUUGUGUGAUCCAAGUUAAAUCUGACAAUAGAAAACAAUCACAAAAUAAGCAUUUCCUGGCAUUGUCAUCAUUCAAGAUGAAAGGAAAGUGGAAUGAGGCGAUUUCUGCCUCUAUGGGAUCCACUGACAAUUAACUGGAGCAGCUCAUCCCGGUCCCUUUUCAAUGAAUAUUAACAACCACACUGACUGCAGAUAGCUCUGUAUUGCUCCC
rnacentral:pre_miRNA from 1 species